UACGUAGGGUGCAAGCGUUAAUCGGAAUUACUGGGCGUAAAGCGUGCGCAGGCGGUUUUGUAAGUUUGUCGUGAAAGCCCCGGGCUCAACCUGGGAAUUGCGAUGAAGACUGCAAGGCUUGAAUCUGGCAGAGGGGGGUAGAAUUCCACGUGUAGCAGUGAAAUGCGUAGAGAUGUGGAGGAACACCGAUGGCGAAGGCAGCCCCCUGGGUCAAGAUUGACGUGCUCAUGCACGAAAGCGUGGGGAGCAAACAGG
rnacentral:rRNA from 1 species